rnacentral:rRNA from 1 species
CCUGCGGAAGGAUCAUUACCUUUCAAUGCAGAAGAGUUGGGAUGGUUGAGUAUCUCGCCUCUCAAUUCUCGCUGUAUUUUACCCUUGUUUUUCUCAUACUAUUAUUUCCUCGGCAGGCUUGCCUGCCGGGUGAAACAACUUCAAACCUGUUUAAUUUUCAAUCAGCGUCUGAACAAAUUAAUAAUUACAACUUUCAACAACGGAUCUCUUGGUUCUGGCAUCGAUGAAGAACGCAGCGAAAUGCGAUAAGUAGUGUGAAUUGCAGAAUUCAGUGAAUCAUCGAAUCUUUGAACGCACAUUGCGCCCCUUGGUAUUCCAUGGGGCAUGCCUGUUCGAGCGUCAUUUGUACCUUCAAGCUCUGCUUGGUGUUGGGUGUUUGUCCUUGCUCUAGUGGCGGGACUCGCCUUAAAGUAAUUGGCAGCCAGUGUUUUGGUUUUGAAGCGCAGCACAAGUCGCGAUUCAAGUCUAUACGCUAGUUUCCACAAGUCUUUUAUCACUUUUGACCUCGGAUCAGGUAGGGAUACCCGCUGAACUUAAGCAUAUC